UCAACUGCAGAGAGAAAGAGAGUGGAACGAGAGCAGAUUAAUCAACUAGUUGUCAACUAUGAAAUGAAUGUAUGACCAACUAUUUUGAUAAUCGAUUAUUGUAUUUGUGUAAAAAGUCUCUGAUUCUCAAAAAUGCAUUUGAGUUCAGAUUUCAAAUUCAAAUUUGGCCCUAAUUCUCUUCCGUAGAUUCCAGCUUGUUAAAUGUGAAUAUGUUCUAGUUUCUUCUCUCCUCUGUGAUAGUAAACUGAAUAUCUUUUGAGUUGUGGAGUACACUGGCCGACAUUUUUCACCAUUUUAUAGACCAAACAACUAACUAGUAAAUAAUCGACCGAUUAAUCGACAGUAAAAAUAAUCAUUAGUCGCAGCCCUAAAAGACAGAGAUUGAACGUUUUUCACGGUGUCUGUGGUAAACUCUGCGCGGCUGGCUCCAGCGGCUGGCUCGGGGUCAAGGCUUCUGGCGGCCCGCCCUAUGCAGGGUCAUUUUUAAACACGCUCUGCUCUUCUGCACAUCAAAUGUGUUACUCCUUCAACUCCCACCUCCUCUACCACAGUGUUUUAGGACUCAAUCCCUCGGCCUAUUUUGUAUUGCAUGCCACAGACGUCUGUCUCUGGCUUGAGUGCGCUGAUGCUGUUUUGUUGUAAGCCUGUGUCUCCCAUCUGUUCCACUAGCCGAGCCUCGUAGCCUGAUUCACAGUGACAGCUCCUGUUCUAGGACUAUACAGGCCUGGGUGCACAGCAAACAUGGGCUUCAUUCAUAAAGCUGCAUGCUGGAGUCUCCCUGGGAGUAAAACAACAUUUGGAGGUGCACUCAACACAGGACUCUGAAGUGUCACAAAAUCCUUUCUGAUAUUAUGUUAAUGAGCUUAAAUAGUGGUAAACGUUAAUUACAAAAACGUUUAAAAAAAAGUAGGCUAAACCUAAUGUUAAUGUGCACCACCAAAGUGUCAGAGCAUCGUCUAGCUGUCAAACAGACGCAUGGGAUUUGGAUUAACCCUGAUGAUGGAUUUAUGUGAAGCACACAGACAGUGCAGACUGAGUUUAAACCUCUGCAAACGUGAGAUCAAAAUGAACAUGUCACCAGAAUGCGCUGUGAUCCUGUAGAGCUGUACAUACUUUUAACAGAGUGUGGCAAAUGCGUCAGGUUUUUCUCCAUUCCAACCAAAAAUAAUCCGGUGACAGAAGAUAUAACCCAAGGUCGUUCAAGUGAAUAAUAAUCCGGACAUCAUCUGCUGUGGCGCCGGGUUCUCCUGCCUUCUCUUCAGCUCUUCAAACAGCAUCCGGGCGAUUUCAACUUGACGUUAUCAAUUUCAUGAAACGUGUAAAGAAACAAAAUGAUCUCCCAAGUUUCUGCUGCUGGCUGGUUUGGUUUCUGUGGGAUGAAGCGCU